rnacentral:lncRNA from 1 species
UGAUCUCACAACUUUAUUUGGAAAAUUCAAAUAACAUGAGCAAGAACUCACUUGCUUGGAAAAACAUGAAGAAAAAAAAAGCAUUAGAAGAAGAUGAAGAAGGAGAAAGGUAAAGACAAUGAGGUAGAGAAGAAGUCUAUUUCUCUAAAGAAUUCAAGCUCAAAGUCCUCAAACAAUGAGCAAAGUGAUGGUGAAACAAGAGAUGACAAGAAUCCCG